rnacentral:rRNA from 1 species
AACGUAGGAGGCAAGCGUUAUCCGGAGUUACUGGGCGUAAAGCGUGUGUAGGUGGUUAUUCAAGUUCGGUGUGAAAGCGCCCGGCUUAACUGGGCGAGGACAUCGAAGACUGAAUGGCUAGAGGAUGGUAGAGGGGCGUAGAAUUCCGGGUGUAGCGGUGAAAUGUGUAGAGAUCCGGAGGAAUACCAGUGGUGCAGACGGCGCCCUGGGCCAUACCUGACACUGAGACACGAAAGCGUGGGGAGCGAACGGG